UAAUGACCCUUUCCCGCCAUUUCGCCUCCUCCUAGGCACCAUACUUGCCGGUCGUGAACAGAUUCCAGCGGUGCAGCGGCGGUCCCCAUCCCCAGUUAGCUGUUGCGCGCGUUUACGCCCUAACGGGCACGGCUCGUUGCGUGAGCUCGCGCCGUAGAUAAGAAGUACCCGCGGUUACGGGGCGCUCAUCAUCUCAUUUCCAUGUGAUCCCCGCGGUAGGAGGAGGCGCCCACUGUAUUAGCGGGUAGUGUUCCAAGGCCCCCCCUGAGAGUGUGAGUUACCUCACAUAGUACGUGUGAGUGCGUCGUUAAGCGUGGGAAGCUAUGGGGCGACUCUGGAAACGGGAAGGAUAUCCCGUUGGCGCGCAGGGCCGGGUCGGGCAGGGGAGCGAGCAGGACCUGCUGGGGCUGGGCCGUCGUCCGGGCGUCGUUCGGGUGGCUUGUGUGGCCCAGUGAAAGUCCGUGGCGCCGCCCGUACAGUUGAAUCAUUAUCCGCGAGCAAGUUAUUUCAUUGUCAUGAUUCCGAUUGCUGCUGCUGCUGCUGCUGUCCGUCUGCGUCGGUCCAGACUGUGGUGGUUACACUGGGCCGCGGGACCGAGCAGACAGCCUCAUCGGCGAGCUGUCGUCGUCGUCGGGGCGGACGCCGUUGAUCGAAGACCAACGGCGUGCAUCAUCGCAUCGCGCUGGUGCUGCGCGUGCUGUCGUUCUCCUACAAGUCCAAGGCGGACGCCUUCGGCGACUCCAACGGUCCGGGCGUGUUCCGCCGACUGUCGGACGACGGGGCCGCCGCCGCCGCCCCUACACCGAGGCCGUCUCGGCCGGGGCCGCGGGCCGCGCCCUCACCCGAGUUCCCGACGCCCUUCGCCAGCUCCACGCCCAAACAGCCCUGCGUGGUCGCGCGUGCGGCCAGCACGGCGCAGGACAGCGUCGCGGCCCGCAGGCUGGGCGCCGGCCUCGGCGCCGGCGUCUCCAGGAGCAAGUCCGCCGUCGCGCCGCCGGGGCGCCGCGCCGUGAGGCACCCCCCGCUCGCUAGCGCGCCCGCCGGCGAGAUGCGGAACCCGGAGUCGCGCGUCGGCGCCACCGUGGUGGUGCUGCAGUCUGGCGGCGACGCUCCGAACUUCGCGGCGUCGGCCGACCAUCCCGCGGCGCAAGCGGCGCAACCGAGGGCGGCGCCGGCCGAGGGUCGCCGCGGCGCAGAUGCACUGCACUCGUUCGCGGAGGAGGCGUCGGUGGUCGUCGUGGACGGGCUCCGUACCGAGGUGGUCGACGGCGUGGACGCGCUCAGCCUGAGCGACGCGCACGGCUCGGCCUGCUCCUCCGUGGCCGGCACGUCCGUGGCCGGCACCUCCUCGUCGCUCGGGGCCGGGGCCAGCGCCGCGGGGCUCACCCUGGGCCGUCACCGGGGCGGCGGCAGCAGCGGCGGCAGCGCGGGCGCCGGGGGCAGCGUCGCGGGCAGCGCGGCCGGCGGCUGGAGUCAGCCCCGCACCCCCAUGGGCUCCACGACGCAGCUCAUCCAGGGCAAGGCCCGCCCGCAGUCAGCGGUGAGUACCACCUCGACAACUAACUACUAAACUUGUAAAAAUGUAAUCUGCCGUUUUUUAGCAAAAAAAAAAAAAAAAAAAAUCGUUUCCACCACACUGCAAAACCAACAGUGUACUUUUUCAUGUAAAUUGUUGUUGGAAUCACACACCUCUAAGUGUGUGUGUUCUUACCAAUUGUGUGUAAGUCACCUUAUAGGUAAAGUAGCUACUUCUAUGUGUGUUCUGUGGCAAAAAAAAAAAACACUUAUAUGUGUGUACGUACUACUGCAAUUGCAAAGUGCACUGUUCCUUAUGUGUACUAAGUACACUGUUGGGAUUGCGAUGUAAGUUUUGAGGAUGAUUUUCUCUCAGCAAUGCACUUCUGUACCUUCUUGCCAAAACCGUGUGUAGUAGGUUUUGCACCGAAUUUAGCAAUCGUACACGUACAAUAUGAAAACAAGAUAGUGUUGUCUCUAUUUGAAGCGUUCAAUAUUCUCACUGUAGCUCUAAAAUACUUGUGUUCAGAACAUUUCUGUUUGUUCAACAAUCGACCCCUAAGAGAGACAUGCUAAACCGUAUGUUAAACCGAUACAUAGUCUGAAAAGUCUGUGCCAUUGAGUAAUAAGUCCUCACGCAAGACUCUAUGGCCUCCGAAGUCAUGAGUCGUGCAAAUCAAAUAUUCCGUGGGCAAGUCGCCAAUAAGGAAGCUGAGUCAUGCGUCGUCAACCCUUACUUUCUCGUCUCACCACAAGGAUGCGACAGUAAUGUUGUGCGCCCCAAGAGGUCUGUAAUUCACACCAUCCGCGUUCGGUCAGGGUAUGUUGUGGUGGCUGUACCGCAUGCGUACGGGUGCGGGCGGGUUGCCCAUAGAAUAGCCGGUGCAGCUGCCGCACCUGCCCCAGUGCCCUGGCCCCCGCGCUGCACCGCCUCGACUCCCUCCUCCCCGCCCCGCUCUCGGUGCCCGCCGCGCGAUCGAUUUUCCUCCCCCGUUCGGUUUCCAAUAUCUGAUCGGGCGUGCCGUGCCGCCGUACCACGCUGUCCGUGGCGUUACGCCCGUGCAGCAGCCCGCUAGCCCGCGCCGGGCCGGGCCACUCCGCCACUCGUACUCCAUUUGCGCGCUCUUGCGUUGAGCUCUCCGCUGCUCCUGCUCGGCGCCGCCGUCCGCUGCUUUGCUGCCGCCGUCUGGUGGCCGCUAUACUCCGCUCUGCUCGCGCGCUCAGUUGCUCGCCGCGCCGCCAUGUGAGCCGUGCGCAUGGACCGCCCCGCGCGCGCCGUGGUGCGUCCGGGCGGCCGCGGCCGGUGCCACUGGAGCCGGGACGGCGCCUACCACCGCGCGCGACACCCGGGCCAGCCCUGCGAGCCGCCAUCGGUAAGGCAAUGAACUGACUCUGCGUACGUCUCGUGCGAGUGUGCGGGUGUGAGACCCCAUGGCCGCGGCGAUGCCCCGCCGCGCCUCCCGCCGCGACGCUUCGCGUCCUCUGCCGACCAAUCGGGCGUCGGCCCGGACAAUGGGCGAUUAGUCGCGGCCGCGAGUUGCAUCGUUUUGACGUUUGUAGGCCGGCGGGGCGGUGCGAUGUUGCAGGGUGUGGAGGAGCUCAGCGGCGGUGCCGUGCCAAAUGAAUGGUGGUCGUCGGCGAUGUCCAACGCCGUGCUGCGUAUGGCGUGUGGGGCCCGUGGUGCUGCGCUCGCAUGAGUCGCGCGCGAGGCCGCGUCCCCCGCGUGCCCCUCUGAGCAGGGCGGCUAGGCCGGCGGGCGUGGCGCCAGGUGCGUCGUGUCCGUCGUGUCUCCGGACGCCCCGUCACCGCAGCGCGAUUACACCCGUGUCGUUAGAUCUGUAACCGACCGGGUAACGCGCCAACCCCGGGGUCGGGAAGCUCGCCACGCCCAGCCACGCCCCGCCACGCCGCACCGCGCUCGCACGUAUAGCGGCCGUGUCCCGGUCCGGGCGGGGUGCCUGUCGGAGUACCUGACGAGCAACGAGUGCUUGUUGCGGUGCCGGUCCGCUGGCCCCGCAUGGCGGAGGAGGCAGGCGGUGUGUUCCAGUUGGCGCCCGCCCCGCGCGGUAUACCCUCCUGCUGGGGGGCGCCUGGCCAGCAGCCCAAACAGGCGCGCGCGCGCCCGCGGCGCCGCCACGAGGACGAAAACGUUUCAUAAGGGACGAGUCCUUUGGCCUUCGGCGCCCCCCGAGCAGCCCGUUGCGAUGGUCCGCCGCCGGCCGAGGCCCCCGGGGAGGCGUUUCGUACGAGCGGUGGCGGCGGCGCCCGCCUCGUUUUGUUUUCUCCUUGUACUGCUGCGAGGCGCGCGGGGUCAGCCAGGCGCGGUGCCGUUCUCCAAAACAUUUGCAAUCGGCAUGGACAGCAGUUUGCAAAAGGUGCUCAUCGCCACUCAUCGCAGUGGAGGCGAUGUGGUGGCUCACCCCGCUGGACGCAGUUGUAUCCAAUGCGAACAGCCAAGUGGUGCGUUAGGGGAAAGAGGGGCCGGGGAGGGGAGGGAGACGGGGUAGUUGGUCUGUUGCAUGGCUGCGCUCUGCCCGGCCAGCCACGCCCCGCCCAGGCAGGGCAGGCCGGACACGCUGCAGGCCGACGACGGCAAGUGCGGUGCAGAUCGCCGCGAUUGGCGACGUGACCUCCACGGCGCGGGGGCAGCGGGGGCGCUCCGGCCGGCCCAUUAGAGGGGCACCGCGAGCACGACCCCGCGCGCCCGGCACCGCCCACACGCGCGCGAGAUAAGCGAAUGGGCGCGCGCGGGAAAUUCAAUUCAAAUAACGAUUUUGCGCGCUGCGAUAUUGUUUUACGAUCCGAUUUUACGUAAGAGAAGGCAAAAAUUAUGCAGUAAGUUUUUUGCCGCUGUGUUUGAGCUAGGCUGUUUUGGGAGGGUCCGGCGUGUGUAGCCUGAGAGCAAAGGGGGACUAGAGGAGGGGCUGCGAUCGUGGUGGUGGCGUCUGAUCCUAAUUGGCACAGCCCAGCGGCAGGACGGGUGUACUGUAACUGUUCCCGGCAAAAACUGUUCGACAGCGUCUGACUUCCGGUGGAUUAGUUUGUGAGCCGGCCACUAGAGGUUUGUCGAACAAUUCCAGCAAAACUCGAAAACACUUCCACCAAUCACAGAGGACGUUCCCCUCUCCCCCUCACAGGUCCCUCAGCGAAUGGAGUAUACACACGACACAAAGGGAAUGCAGAGGGGAAAGGGGGGAAAGACGAGGGGAAUCCCCAGACAUGACAACAUUUUCACGUAAAAGUUCUCAUAUCCAUUACGGAAUUAGAAACGGAAUUGCGUUCGUGAAGAAGACAAAAGGAUAUUGCCUUACAAUUAUGAAGAACCAGUGUUUUCAAUAGUGAAUUUUAUUUAAUACAAUUCUUUUAACAAAAUCUGCCAAAAUAUUGCAGGUAACUAAAUCAACAUUUUGUGGUAGCUACAUUAAAGAGAAAUAAAAUGGUACACCAAGGUGACAGCAGGUGUGAACAAUAAAUUAAAGAACACAGUA